AUUCCUACGGGAGGCAGCAGUGAGGAAUAUUGGUCAAUGGACGAAAGUCUGAACCAGCCAUGCCGCGUGAAGGAUGACGGCCCUACGGGUUGUAAACUUCUUUUGUGUAGGAAGAAACCCCUCUACGUGUAGAGGGCUGACGGUACUAUACGAAUAAGCACCGGCUAACUUCGUGCCAGCAGCCGCGGUAAUACGGAGGGUGCAAGCGUUAUCCGGAAUUAUUGGGUUUAAAGGGUGCGUAGGUGGAAAUUUAAGUCAGUGGUGAAAGCCCACAGCUCAACUGUGGAACUGCCGUUGAUACUGAAUUUCUUGAAUCUGAUUGAAGUAGGCGGAACAUGACAUGUAGCGGUGAAAUGCUUAGAUAUGUCAUAGAACACCGAUAGCGAAGGCAGCUUACUAAGUCAGUAUUGACACUGAGGCACGAAAGCGUGAGGAGCGAAUAGGAUUAGAUACCCUGGUAGUCUACGCUGUAAACGAUGAUUACUCGCUAUUGGCGAUACACUGUCAGUGGCUAAGCGAAAGUGAUAAGUAAUCCACCUGGGGAGUACGAUCGCAAGGUUGAAACUCAAAGGAAUUGACGGAAU
rnacentral:rRNA from 1 species